GAUGAAGACCAUGACAGCCACUCCUGCGACCACCCAGAGGGCGGCGCUGAUGAGCAGCGAGUACACAGGCCUCCUCAGCUUCAAGCGUGCGUACCAGACAAGGACAGGAAAUGCGGGGCUUUGCAAACUUGAGAGAAGCCAUCUGUUCUUGUGGUACAUUGUUUGCGUUCUUCUUCUGCAUGACUUUUUAUUCCAUUUAACUUCUGAAAUAAAACACCCACAUAGUCAUGCGUCCCUGUUUCCUUCACAGUCAAAACUGUGGUGAGGAUGGAAAUAGCCUCAAUGGUGUUAGCAAGGGUGGAAAUGUCACAUCUCCCACGUUCCACUCUUUUUUUGUCACACUGACUUUUAGCUUUUAUGUUACUCAAAAAAAAAAAGAAGCUACAUCUUUAUUUAAUAGGGACUCGUUCAGUGUCUUUAAGGCAGGGGUGCCUAAACCUUUUCCUCAGAUGGUCACAAAAUAAAAAAUCAAAGGAUGCAAGGGCCACUUUGGCAUUGACCGAUCUUAUAUGUUAACACUUGUUAAAGGUGAAAAAAGAUAACAGUGUGGGAUUUUUCAUUCAUUUGGAAUGGUUCGUAACCUGGGCCGCACUGGGAUAGAUCCGCCCCUGCCCUGAGCGAUCAUGUCAUGGGUAGACAUGGUAACCAUUUCAACACCCAAUAGGGUUGCAGUCCGCGUCUUUUUUUUUUUUUUUAAGAUAUGCUUUGUACCAAUAAAAGACAGAUAGGGGGCUGCAAAUGGCCCCCGAGCCAUAGUUUGGACACCAACGCUUUGCGGUCGUUAUACUUGUGAUUGGCUCACGAUCAGUGCAGAAUGAAGACUAGCACUAAAAAAAAAAAA